rnacentral:rRNA from 1 species
AUUGAACGCUGGCGGCAGGCUUAACACAUGCAAGUCGAGCGGGGGAAGGUAGCUUGCUACCGGACCUAGCGGCGGACGGGUGAGUAAUGCUUAGGAAUCUGCCUAUUAGUGGGGGACAACAUCUCGAAAGGGAUGCUAAUACCGCAUACGUCCUACGGGAGAAAGCAGGGGAUCUUCGGACCUCGCGCUAAUAGAUGAGCCUAGGUCGGAUUAGCUAGUUGGUGGGGUAAAGGCCUACCAAGGCGACGAUCUGUAGCGGGUCUGAGAGGAUGAUGCGCCACACUGGGACUGAGACACGGCCCAGACUCCUACGGGAGGCAGCAGUGGGGAAUACUGGACAAUGGGGGGAACCCUGAUCCAGCCAUGCCGCGUGUGUGAAGAAGGCCUUAUGGUUGUAAAGCACUUUAAGCGAGGAGGAGGCUACUCUAGUUAAUACCUAGGGAUAGUGGACGUUACUCGCAGAAUAAGCACCGGCUAACUCUGUGCCAGCCGCCGCCGUAA